rnacentral:rRNA from 1 species
UUACCUACGGGGGGCAGCAGUGAGGAAUAUUGGUCAAUGGCCGAGAGGCUGAACCAGCCAAGUCGCGUGAGGGAAGACGGCCCUACGGGUUGUAAACCUCUUUUGUCGGGGAGCAAAGCGAACCACGUGUGGUUCAUUGAGAGUACCCGAAGAAAAAGCAUCGGCUAACUACGUGCCAGCAGCCGCGGUAAUACGUAGGGAGCAAGCGUUAUCCGGAUUUACUGGGUGUAAAGGGCGUGUAGGCGGGCUUGUAAGUCAGAAGUGAAAUCUGGGGGCUUAACCCCCCAACUGCUUUUUAAA